AACGAACGCUGGCGGCAUGCCUAACACAUGCAAGUCGAACGAGACCUUCGGGUCUAGUGGCGCACGGGUGCGUAACGCGUGGGGAUCUGCCCUUUGCUUCGGAAUAACAGUUAGAAAUGACUGCUAAUACCGGAUGAUGACUUCGGUCCAAAGAUUUAUCGGCAAAGGAUGAACCCGCGUAGGAUUAGCUAGUUGGUGGGGUAAAGGCCUACCAAGGCGACGAUCCUUAGCUGGUCUGAGAGGAUGAUCAGCCACACUGGGACUGAGACACGGCCCAGACUCCUACGGGAGGCAGCAGUGGGGAAUAUUGGACAAUGGGCGAAAGCCUGAUCCAGCAAUGCCGCGUGAGUGAUGAAGGCCUUAGGGUUGUAAAGCUCUUUUACCCGGGAUGAUAAUGACAGUACCGGGAGAAUAAGCUCCGGCUAACUCCGUGCCAGCAGCCGCGGUAAU
rnacentral:rRNA from 1 species